GUCGAUAAGCUUUUCCAAUUUCCUCGUCACCACCUCAAAUAUGAUACCAAAUAAUUAAUAACCCAUGUAACAACUACCAUACCACAUAUUCUUAACAUUUAACUAUGAAAUAUUAGAACUUGAUUUUUCGAAACUUGAAUAUAAUCUUUAAUCUCGCUCACAAUUGGAACGAAUUCUACCUUCUAGUCCAUUCACUAAUCUUUAAUUUAUCAUAAUUACCUUCAUCCCAAACAUAAAAACAAUUCUUUCUUCUAAUCUAGUGAAACUUGAAUUCUCACAUGCACUAAUCUAAUUUACAUCUUAUUCCAUAAAUUCAUUCCAUAAAGUUAAUAUUUCAUCAUCAAAAUCAUUUCCCCUAAUUAUUCUUAUUCAAAAACUCAAUUAAAAACUCUAGGUUUGCCAAAAAUAGUAUAACUUACCUUGAUGCAAAAAUCUUUCACAAAACAAAAAGAUUAGCUUGAAAUCAUGCUCUUACCUUCAAUCUGAAAAUUAACCCAAACAAUUCCUUAGAACCCUAGAAAAUCAACCAUAACUAUUUCAUAAAAUUUUAAUCUUUACCUUUUGAAGAAUUAAAGAUAUAAAGCUUCAAGUAGUUGACACCAAAUUUCUUCCUUCUUUUUCCUUUUCCUUUUACUUUUCCUUUUCCUUUUUCUUUUCCUUUUCCUUGGUUUUUUCUCCUCUUCUUUCCCAGCUUCACUGCCCGAUUUUUCUACUGUGUGUGAGUGUGUGUAAUAAUUUGAAAAAUGAGAUAUUAGUUAAAUACUUGCCACAUGUAAUCCAUUAUACCAACUUUGCAAAUAAAGCCC
rnacentral:lncRNA from 1 species